GGAUGAACGCUGGCGGCGUGCCUAACACAUGCAAGUCGAACGGUGCCUACGGGCACAGUGGCGAACGGGUGCGUAACACGUAGAUACCUGCCCUGGAGGGGGGGAUAACCGCUGGAAACGGUGGCUAAUACCCCAUGACCUCGCGCGAGGAAAGCUCCGGCGCUCCAGGAGGGGUCUGCGGCCUAUCAGCUGGUUGGUGAGGUCACGGCUCACCAAGGCGAUGACGGGUAGCUGGCCUGAGAGGGUGGUCAGCCACAUGGGGACUGAGACACGGCCCCAACUCCUACGGGAGGCAGCAGUGAGGAAUCUUGCCCAAUGGGCGCAAGCCUGAGGCAGCAACGCCGCGUGGAGGACGACGUCCUUCGGGAUGUAAACUCCUUUUCAGGGGGAGCAGUCAGGAGCGUACCCCUGGAAUCAGUCACGACUAACUACGUGCCAGCAGCCGCGGUAACACGUAGGUGGCAAGCGUUAUCCGGAUUUACUGGGCGUAAAGGGUCCGUAGGUGGUUGGGAGGGUCUGGUGUGAAAGCGCUCGGCUUAACUGAGCGAGGCCACUGGAAACCGCCCAACUGGAGUCGCGCAGAGGGCACUGGAAUUCCCGGUGUAGUGGUGGAAUGCGUAGAGAUCGGGAGGAACACCAGAGGCGCAAGCGGGUGCCUGGGCGACGACUGACACUGAGGGACGAAAGCGUGGGGAGCGAACAGGAUUAGAUACCCUGGUAGUCCACGCUGUAAACGAUGUGUGCUCGGUUUCUGCGGUAUCGACCCCGUGGGAGCCCUAGCUAACGCGCUAAGCACACCGCCUGGGGACUACGGCCGCAAGGCUAAAACUCAAAGGAAUUGACGGGGGCCCGCACAAGCAGCGGAGCGUGUGGUUUAAUUCGAUGCUACGCGAAGAACCUUACCCGGGCUUGACAUGCUGGUGGUAGGCGGCGGGAACGUUGCUGACCUUCGGGAGCCAGCACAGUGCUGCAUGGUUGUCGUCAGCUCGUGCCGUGAGGUGUUGGGGUUAAGUCCC
rnacentral:rRNA from 1 species